GAUGAGAUUAUUUAUAACCUUCCCCUUUUAAUCUGAGCCAUCCAUCACGAUUUAAUCUGGGCCGUCCGAUCGCAAUUAAAUUGAAAAUGAAUCUGGGCCGUCCGUGCGGGAUUCAAUCUGGGUCGUCCACACGCGUGAAAUCUGGGCCGUCCGCACGCACUUUUGAUUUGGGCCGUCCGUGCGCGCGAGAAUGAAUCUGGGUCGUCCGAUCGCAUGCACGCGGAUCGCC
rnacentral:lncRNA from 1 species